UACGUAGGGGGCAAGCGUUGUUCGGAAUUACUGGGCGUAAAGGGCUCGUAGGCGGCCAACUAAGUCGGAUGUGAAAUCCCCAGGCUCAACUUGGGAACUGCAUCCGAUACUGGAUGGCUUGAAUUCGGGAGAGGGAUGCAGAAUUCCAGGUGUAGCGGUGAAAUGCGUAGAUAUCUGGAGGAAUACCGGUGGCGAAGGCGGCAUCCUGGACCGACAUUGACGCUGAUGAGCGAAAGCUAGGGGAGCAAACGGG
rnacentral:rRNA from 1 species